rnacentral:rRNA from 1 species
GCGAACGCUGGCGGCAGGCCUCACACCUGCAAGUCGAACGAACCUUUCGGGGUUAGUGGCGGACGGGUGAGUAACACGUGGGAACGUGCCUUUAGGUUCGGAAUAACUCAGGGAAACUUGUGCUAAUACCGAAUGUGCCCUUCGGGGGAAAGAUUUAUCGCCUUUAGAGCGGCCCGCGUCUGAUUAGCUAGUUGGUUGAGGUAAUGGCUCACCAAGGCGACGAUCAGUAGCUGGUCUGAGAGGAUGAUCAGCCACAUUGGGACUGAGACACGGCCCAAACUCCUACGGGAGGCAGCAGUGGGGAAUCUUGCGCAAUGGGCGAAAGCCUGACGCAGCCAUGCCGCGUGAAUGAUGAAGGUCUUAGGAUUGUAAAAUUCUUUCACCGGGGACGAUAAUGACGGUACCCGGAGAAGAAGCCCCGGCUAACUUCGUG